GAUGCGGAAAGCUUGGUUUUCAAUCGUAGGGAGAGAGAGAAAGAGGCGAUUGGGAAGAGAGAAGGAGAGAGGAAGAGGUGAUCAGAGAAAUCGUAGGGAGAGAGAGAAAGAGGCGAUUUGGAAGAGAGAGGAAGAGAGGAAGAGGAGAUCAGAGAACAGUGUUAAUCGGAGUUGAAUCGUUUCGUUCUCCUUCUUGGUAAGUUUUCAAUUUCUGUUAUCUUUUUCAAUUUCAAUUUCUGUUCUCUUCCCUCUUGCAUUUCAUCUCUUCGUUCUGCUCUAUCCUGAAGUUUUUGAGAGCAUCGAUUCUGAUUCUGCAUCUUUUGGUGGUUUUUUGUUUCGGUGAGUGGUAGUUCGAUUUUGUUUCUCUUGAAUCUCAAUGUUGGGUUUAUUUGAGUUCGUUUUUCUUGAUUUUAGGAGAUGAGUGAGAGGCCGGGUGAGACUGAGAGAGGGAGAGAAAGGCAGACUCCGACUAACUGCAGAGAAGAAGAAAAGAGAGUUGAUCCUCUGCAAGUUGUUUAUAUUUCUACUUACAUAUGAGAUUAGAACUUGGGUAAAUAUGAGAUUCUAAUUGCGGAAGACGGAAAGCCGUCAAUGGCGGCUUAUUGGGUCUCCGACAUGCGUCAUAUACUCCCUAAAAGACAUCCAGCUUCCCUUGACUUCUUUCAGGUACUGAAUUGUUUCUACUGAACAUUUCAAAGUUUCAAUCUUUUACAUCAAGUUAUGCUUCUGCGUUUACUGGGUUUUCGAGCUAUUUAUUAUUAUGAUGAAGAUUGGGUGUUAUAAUCGUUUGAUGUACGGAUUGAUUGGUUUUAGUCAUGGGUGAUAUUUGGUUAUUUACUGGGUUUCAUUUACUUUUUCUGAAUUUGUUGGUGCUGAAUUUUACCUAUCAGAUUAUUUGUUUGGAUGUUAUCUGGAUUACACUGCUUUGCUUCCUUGAUUGAAAGUUCAAUUCUUUUUCUCAAAUUUUAUUCAUGUCCAUGGUUGGAAAUAUUCACUUAAAGUUUGAAUGUUACUGAAAGUGACCAGAGAAGAUAGUUUGAAUGUUACUGAGCUUAUCGAUGUAAUGUCGAAUUUGUGUGCCAUGAUUUUGAAAGCAUUGGUGUCGUUAAAAUUCAAGGUGUUCACACAUUUACUUGCCUUUUUACAAGCUCCGUUGUUUGUAGUAUGUUGGCAAACUGAAAGUAGCCAUAGAAGAUAAUGAGAUGCGAGCUGUAUCGUUAUAGAGUGAUUUAGUAUGAUUGAAGUUUACUGAUAUUUACCUUUUUGGUUGACAAUCGGUCAANNNNNNNNNNNNNNNNNNNN
rnacentral:lncRNA from 1 species